GAGAUUUAUCCUGGCUCAGGAUAACGCUGGCGGCGUGCUUAACACAUGCAAGUCGAACGAUGAACCUCACUUGUGGGGGGAUUAGUGGCGAACGGGUGAGUAACACGUGAGUAACCUGCCCUUGACUCUGGGAUAAGCCUGGGAAACCGGGUCUAAUACUGGAUACGACCUUCUGGCGCAUGCCAUGUUGGUGGAAAGCUUUUGUGGUUUUGGAUGGACUCGCGGCCUAUCAGCUUGUUGGUGGGGUAAUGGCCUACCAAGGCGACGACGGGUAGCCGGCCUGAGAGGGUGACCGGCCACACUGGGACUGAGACACGGCCCAGACUCCUACGGGAGGCAGCAGUGGGGAAUAUUGCACAAUGGGCGCAAGCCUGAUGCAGCGACGCCGCGUGAGGGAUGAAGGCCUUCGGGUUGUAAACCUCUUUCAGUAGGGAAGAAGCUGGCCUUUCGGGGUUGGUGACGGU
rnacentral:rRNA from 1 species